CAGCAAAACACGCAGUUAAACAUGAAACAAAAACAAUUAUUUACAAAGCAAAGGGCAAGAAGAGUAAAGGAAAAAAACAGAAAAGAAAAUAGUUUUCAGCGGCUGCUGAUCACAAAGGUAUUGUGUAGUUAUCUCCUGACUUUAGAUUGCAAGAUGAUAAGCUUCGAAAUGUGGUGUGAUCUAGCGGUGAUCGUGACUUCAAAAGAAGCUACACUUCCUGGUAAUGUUAGCACAGUUCACAGUUCCUCCUUGUAUAUGGUAGAUCCGGUGGAGGCGCAAUGGGCCAGUGGUUAGGGCAGCGGACUCGCGGUCAUAGGAUCGCGGUUUCGAUUCCCUAUUAAUUACAUUUGAACAGUCUGAUGUCAGUUUACCUGGAAGGAAACAAUGCAGUAUUAAUAAGAACAUUGGAAAUUAAUACAUGUAAUAUUCUACAGCUCUAGCAUCAUCCUUCAACUUGUAUCUUUGUGUGUUCAUUUAUAUUUAUUGUAGAAUUUUUUUUCUCUUGUUUGGGAACUGUUUCGAUUCCCAGACCUGGCGUUGUGAGUGUUUAUUGAGGGAAAACACUUAAAGCUCCACGAGGCUCUGGCAGGGGAUGGUAGCGAACCCUGCUGUACUCUUUCACCACAACUUUCUCUCACUCUUACUUCCUGUUUCUGUUGUGCCUGUAGUUCAAAGGGUCAGACUUGUGACACUGUGUCACGUGGAAUAUCCCCGAGGACUACGUUAAGGGUACACGUGUCUGUGGAGUGCUCAGCCACUUCCACGUUAAUUUCACGAGCAGGCUGUUCCGUUGAUCGGAUCAACUGGAAUCCUCGACGUCGUAAGCGACGGAGUGCCAACAAUGGUAGAUCCAUAAGAUGAGGUGAUUCCUGCAAUGUCAUAAUGAUCCCAAUUGCCAGUAUCUUCAGCCAGCCUUAUCUUCAUUAAGGUAUAAAUAUAUGCAGCAUGCCUUAUGUUUCAUUAAUGUUUGCAUCGCAUUUUCUUUUGUUACCAAUAUUAUAUUGUCUGUUGUGGGUUUUUUUUUAUUGAACUGUGAGAGUAAGCGUGUCGGAAAACUGUGUUGUACGAGGGCCGACUGAAAAGUUCGUAGGCUGACAAAGAUACCCAAACGGAAUGUGACCAAAUGAUGUUUAUUUUUCAAUAGCAUUGGCUACUUGAUUUAUAGUCAAUUGCCUGUCAUCCACCUGCAUGUGGUGAACACAAUCAAUGUUUUCCUUUGUGGUGGAGGUCAAGACCUAGGGUCAUCUUCAAGACUCUCUGUUCAGCUCCUCACUUUUGCCCUGGAGAACCAUGCUCUUAUGAAGCAAGCAUGUCAUCAUGAAUGUCUUUGGGAACUAAACCAUUUUUCUGCAAGCACUUGAUAACACCGCGAUGCCAUAUUUUGUCGGUUUUCAAGAUAAGUCACUAUUAGUUACAUUUGAACAGUCUGAUGUCAGUUUACCUGGAAGGAAACAAUGCAGUAUUAAUAAGAACAUUGGAA